UGUCAAGGGAUGGGAAUCGAAUCCACGACCAACCGCUUACCGGGCAGAUGCCAUGACCACUAGGCUACCCUGGAC
rnacentral:tRNA from 1 species